rnacentral:misc_RNA from 1 species
AAGUCGUAACAAGGUUUCCGUAGGUGAACCUGCGGAAGGAUCAUUAUCGUAGGGCUUCGGCCCUGUCGAGAUAGAACCCUUGCCUUUAUGAGUACCGUCCGUUUCCUCGGCAGGCCCGCCUGCCGAUGGACCCAAAACCAAGCCAUUCCAUUUCUACCUACGUGUAUCAGUCUGAAAAAAGUAAACAAAAAAGUUAAAAAG